rnacentral:rRNA from 1 species
GAUGAACGCUGGCGGCGUGCCUAAUACAUGCAAGUCGAGCGAACAGAUGAGUAGCUUGCUCCUCUGACGUUAGCGGCGGACGGGUGAGUAACACGUGGAUAACCUACCUAUAAGACUUGGAUAACUUCGGGAAACCGGAGCUAAUACCGGAUAAUAUAUUGAACCGCAUGGUUCAAUAGUGAAAGACGGUUUUGCUGUCACUUAUAGAUGGAUCCGCGCCGCAUUAGCUAGUUGGUAAGGUAACGGCUUACCAAGGCAACGAUGCGUAGCCGACCUGAGAGGGUGAUCGGCCACACUGGAACUGAGACACGGUCCAGACUCCUACGGGAGGCAGCAGUAGGGAAUCUUCCGCAAUGGGCGAAAGCCUGACGGAGCAACGCCGCGUGAGUGAUGAAGGUCUUCGGAUCGUAAAACUCUGUUAUUAGGGAAGAACAAAUGUGUAAGUAACUAUGCACGUCUUGACGGUACCUAAUCAGAAAGCCACGGCUAACUACGUG